GCAGCUCUACGAAGGUGCUUAUUCAUCGUCACUCCUAUUGAUGCUCUGAUUGUUAUCGGUGUCGGAGUCAGCUGGCGCGGUGCCAGUGGGCAGCGC
rnacentral:tRNA from 1 species